GUCCUAGCCGUAAACGUUGGGUGCUAGGUGUGGGCGGACAUCGACCCCGUCCGUGCCGAAGCUAACGCAUUAAGCACCCCGCCUGGGGAGUACGGCCGCAAGGCUAAAACUCAAAGGAAUUGACGGGGCCCCGCACAAGCGGCGGAGCAUGCGGCUUAAUUCGAUGCGACGCGAAGAACCUUACCUGGGCUUGACAUGCAGGGUGGAACCCGUGAAAGCGGGCGCUCUUCGGAGCCUGCACAGGUGGUGCAUGGCUGUCGU
rnacentral:rRNA from 1 species